UACGUAGGGCGCAAGCGUUGUCCGGAAUUAUUGGGCGUAAAGAGCUCGUAGGCGGCUUGUCACGUCGGGUGUGAAAGCCCCGGGGCUUAACCCCCGGGUCUGCAUUCGAUACGGGCAGGCUAGAGUGUGGUAGGGGGAGAUCGGAAUUCCUGGUGUAGAGGUGAAAUUCGUAGAUAUCAGGAGGAACACCGGUGGCGAAGGCGGCUUCCUGGCCAUUCACUGACGCUGAGACGCGAAAGCGUGGGGAGCAAACAGG
rnacentral:rRNA from 1 species